rnacentral:rRNA from 1 species
UACGUAGGGUGCAAGCGUUGCCCGGAUUCACUGGGUUUAAAGGGUGCGUAGGUGGGCAGGUAAGUCAGUGGUGAAAUCUCCGGGCUUAACUCGGAAACUGCCGUUGAUACUAUCUGUCUUGAAUAUCGUGGAGGUUAGCGGAAUAUGUCAUGUAGCGGUGAAAUGCUUAGAUAUGACAUAGAACACCCAUUGCGAAGGCAGCUAACUACACGAUCAUUGACACUGAGGCACGAAAGCGUGGGGAGCAAACAGG